rnacentral:rRNA from 1 species
UACGGAGGAUCCGAGCGUUAUCCGGAUUUAUUGGGUUUAAAGGGUGCGCAGGCGGGAGAUUAAGUCGGCGGUGAAAUUUUGCAGCUCAACUGUAAAAGUGCCUUCGAAACUGGAUUCCUUGAGUGUAGAUGAAGUAGGCGGAAUUUGUGGUGUAGCGGUGAAAUGCAUAGAUAUCACGAGGAACUCCGAUUGCGCAGGCAGCUUACUAAGCUACUACUGACGCUCAGGCACGAAGGCGUGGGGAUCAAACAGGAUUAGAUACCCGU